AGGUCAUCCGAGCUGCAGCCGUCUCAGACGCCCAGGCUUGACCGCCGCGAAGGCCAACCCCGGGAAGGGGGGUAUGUUCUGUUUUGUGCUUUUUCUUUUAGAAGCUACUAAAGGGUGUUGGGGAUGCUUCUGACUAUUAUGAAGGCCAAAAGGCCUGUUGACUGGGGCUGCUUUUAACCCUUUCCUAUUUGCUGAGAAUGCAGCCGUGUGACAGUAACUGAACAUUGGUCUAAAGUCUUUCCAAAAGGUCAAGGUUCACAAGAACAUCUGCUCAAAUUCAUGACCAUGGGGGAUAUGAAGACCCCAGACUUUGAUGACCUCCUGGCAGCAUUUGACAUCCCAGAUAUGGUCGAUCCUAAAGCAGCUAUUGAGUCUGGACACGAUGACCACGAAAGCCACAUGAAACAGAACGCUCACGGAGAGGAUGACUCCCACGCACCAUCAUCUUCUGACGUGGGUGUCAGCGUUAUCGUCAAGAAUGUUCGGAACAUCGACUCGUCCGAGGGCGGGGAGAAAGACGGCCACAACCCCACCGGCAAUGGCCUCCAUAAUGGGUUUCUCACAGCGUCCUCCCUGGACAGUUACAGUAAAGAUGGAGCGAAGUCCUGGAAAGGAGAUGUGCCUGCCUCUGAGGUGGCUCUGAAAGACUCGAUGUUCAGCCAGUUUAGCCCGAUCUCCGGUGCUGAAGAGUUUGACGACGAUGAGAAGAUCGAGGUAGAUGACCGUCUUGACAAGGAGGAUGUGCGAUCAAGCUUCAGGUCGAACGUGUUGACAGGGUCGGCUCCCCAGCAGGACUACCAUAAGCUGAAGGCACUGGGAGGGGAAAACUCCAGCAAAACGGGACUCUCCAUGUCAGGCAAUAUGGAGAAAAACAAAGGUGUUAAGAGAGAAGCAGAAGCCAAUUCUAUAAACCUGAGCGUUUAUGAACCUUUUAAAGUCAGAAAAGCAGAGGAUAAAUUGAAGGAAAACUCUGACAAGGUGCUGGAAAACAGAGUCCUGGAUGGGAAGCUGAGCUCCGAGAAGAACGACACUGGCCUUCCCGGCGUUGUGCCAUCAAAGACAAAGUCGUCCUCCAAGCUCUCGUCCUGCAUCGCUGCCAUCGCGGCUCUUAGCGCUAAAAAGGCGGCUUCAGACUCCUGCAAAGAACCAGUGGCCAAUUCGAGGGAAUCCUCCCCAUUACCAAAAGAAGUAAACGACAGUCCGAGAGCCGCCGACAAGUCUCCUGAAUCCCAGAAUCUGAUCGACGGGACCAAAAAACCAUCCCUAAAGCAACCGGAUAGUCCCAGAAGCAUCUCAAGUGAGAACAGCAGCAAGGGAUCCCCGUCCUCUCCUGCAGGGUCCACACCAGCAAUCCCCAAAGUCCGCAUAAAAACCAUUGACUCUGGGAAGAAACCUUCCGAGCAGACAGCAUCCGUGAUGGCCUCUGUGACAUCCCUUCUGUCAUCUUCAGCAUCAGCCGCCGUCCUUUCCUCUCCGCUCAGGGCGCCUCUCCAGUCCGCGGUCGUGACCAAUGCAGUUUCCCCUGCAGAGCUCACCCCUAAACAGGUCACAAUCAAGCCUGUGGCUACUGCUUUCCUCCCAGUGUCUGCUGUGAAGACGGCAGGAUCUCAAGUCAUUAAUUUGAAGCUCGCUAACAACACCACGGUGAAAGCCACGGUCAUAUCUGCUGCCUCUGUCCAGAGCGCCAGCAGCGCCAUCAUUAAAGCCGCCAAUGCCAUCCAGCAGCAAACUGUCGUGGUGCUGGCAUCCAGCCUGGCCAACGCCAAACUCGUGCCAAAGACUGUGCACCUUGCCAACCUUAACCUUUUGCCUCAGGGUGCCCAGGCCACCUCUGAACUCCGCCAAGUGCUAACCAAACCUCAGCAACAAAUAAAGCAGGCAAUAAUCAAUGCAGCAGCCUCACAACCCCCCAAAAAGGUGUCUCGAGUCCAGGUGGUGUCGUCCUUGCAGAGUUCUGUGGUGGAAGCUUUCAACAAGGUGCUGAGCAGUGUCAAUCCAGUCCCUGUUUACAUCCCAAACCUCAGUCCUCCCACCAAUGCAGGGAUCACGUUACCGACGCGUGGGUACAAGUGCUUGGAGUGUGGGGACUCCUUUGCACUUGAAAAGAGUCUCACCCAGCACUACGACAGACGGAGUGUGCGCAUCGAAGUAACGUGCAACCAUUGUACAAAGAACCUCGUUUUUUACAACAAAUGCAGCCUCCUUUCCCAUGCCCGUGGGCAUAAGGAGAAAGGGGUGGUAAUGCAAUGCUCCCACUUAAUUUUAAAGCCAGUCCCAGCAGAUCAAAUGAUAGUUUCUCCAUCAAGCAAUACUUCCACUUCAACUUCCACUCUUCAGAGCCCUGUGGGAGCUGGCACACACACUGUCACAAAAAUUCAGUCUGGCAUAACUGGGACAGUCAUAUCGGCUCCUUCAAGCACUCCCAUCACCCCAGCCAUGCCCCUAGAUGAAGACCCCUCCAAACUGUGUAGACAUAGUCUAAAAUGUUUGGAGUGUAAUGAAGUCUUCCAGGACGAGACGUCACUGGCUACACAUUUCCAGCAGGCUGCAGAUACGAGUGGACAAAAGACUUGCACUAUCUGCCAGAUGCUGCUUCCUAACCAGUGCAGUUAUGCAUCACACCAGAGAAUCCAUCAGCACAAAUCUCCCUACACCUGCCCUGAGUGCGGGGCCAUCUGCAGGUCGGUGCACUUCCAGACCCACGUCACCAAGAACUGUCUGCACUACACGAGGAGAGUUGGUUUUUGAUGUGUGCAUUGCAAUGUUGUAUACUCUGAUGUGGCUGCUCUGAAGUCCCGCAUUCAAGGUUCUCACUGUGAAGUCUUCACAAGUGUCCUAUUUGUCCAAUGGCGUUUAAGUCUGCCCCAAGCACACAUUCCCACGCCUACACACAGCAUCCUGGCAUCAAGAUAGGAGAACCAAAAAUAAUAUAUAAGUGUUCCAUGUGCGACACUGUGUUCACCCUGCAAACCUUGCUGUAUCGCCACUUUAGCCAACACAUUGAAAACCAGAAGGUGUCUGUUUUCAAGUGUCCAGACUGUUCUCUUUUAUAUGCACAGAAGCAACUUAUGAUGGACCAUAUCAAGUCUAUGCAUGGAACAUUGAAAAAUAUUGAAGGGCCUCCAAACUUGGGUAUAAACUUGCCUUUGAGCAUUAAGCCUACAACUCAAAAUUCAGCAAAUCAGAACAAAGAGGACACCAAAUCCAUGAAUGGGAAAGAGAAAUUGGAAAAGAAAUCUCCAUCUCCUGUGAAAAAAUCCAUGGAAACCAAGAAAGUGGCCAGUCCUGGGUGGACGUGUUGGGAGUGUGACCGCCUGUUCAUGCAGAGAGAUGUGUACAUAUCCCACGUGAGGAAGGAGCACGGGAAGCAAAUGAAGAAACACCCCUGCCGCCAGUGUGACAAGUCUUUCAGCUCGUCCCACAGCCUGUGCCGGCACAACCGGAUCAAGCACAAAGGCAUCAGGAAAGGGUACGCCUGCUCGCACUGCCCAGACUCCAGACGUACCUUUACCAAACGACUGAUGCUGGAGAAGCACGUCCAGCUGAUGCAUGGCAUCAAGGACCCUGACCUGAAAGAAAUGACAGACGCCACCAAUGAGGAGGAAACAGAAAUGAAAGAAGACACCAAGGUCCCCAGUCCCAAGCGGAAGUUGGAAGAACCAGUUCUGGAGUUCAGGCCUCCCCGAGGAGCAAUCACUCAACCAUUGAAAAAGCUGAAAAUCUAUAAACUAUAA